CAUGCAUGUCUAAGUAUAAGCAAUUAUACCGUGAAACUGCGAAUGGCUCAUUAAAUCAGUUAUCGUUUAUUUGAUAGUACCUUACCACUUGGAUAACCGUGGUAAUUCUAGAGCUAAUACAUGCUAAAAACCCCGACUUCGGAAGGGGUGUGUUUAUUAGAUAAAAAACCAAUGCCCUUCGGGGCUCUUUGGUGAUUCAUGAUAACCUAACGGAUCGCAUGGCCUUGCGCCGGCGACGGUUCAUUCAAAUUUCUGCCCUAUCAACUUUCGAUGGUAAGGUAUUGGCUUACCAUGGUUUCAACGGGUAACGGGGAAUUAGGGUUCGAUUCCGGAGAGGGAGCCUGAGAAACGGCUACCACAUCCAAGGAAGGCAGCAGGCGCGCAAAUUACCCAAUCCCGACACGGGGAGGUAGUGACAAUAAAUACUGAUACAUGGCUCUUUAGAGUCUUGUAAUCGGAAUGAGUACAAUUUAAACCCCUUAACGAGGAACAAUUGGAGGGCAAGUCUGGUGCCAGCAGCCGCGGUAAUUCCAGCUCCAAUAGCGUAUAUUAAAGUUGUUGCAGUUAAAAAGCUCGUAGUUGAACCUUGGGUCUGGCUAGCGGGUCCGCCUCACCGCGUGUACUUGUCCGGCUGGACCUUUCCUCUGGAGACCUCAUGCCCUUCACUGGGUGUGUUGGGGAACCAGGACUUUUACUUUGAAAAAAUUAGAGUGUUCAAAGCAGGCCUUUGCUCGAAUACGUUAGCAUGGAAUAAUAGAAUAGGACGUGCGGUCCUAUUUUGUUGGUUUCUAGGAUCGCCGUAAUGAUUAAUAGGGAUAGUCGGGGGCAUCAGUAUUCACUUGUCAGAGGUGAAAUUCUUGGAUUUAUUGAAGACUAACUACUGCGAAAGCAUUUGCCAAGGAUGUUUUCAUUAAUCAGUGAACGAAAGUUAGGGGAUCGAAGACGAUCAGAUACCGUCGUAGUCUUAACCGUAAACUAUGCCGACUAGGGAUCGGGCGAUGUUUCUAUCUUGACUCGCUCGGCACCUUACGAGAAAUCAAAGUUUUUGGGUUCUGGGGGGAG
rnacentral:rRNA from 1 species